GAUGAACGCUGGCGGCGUGCCUAAUACAUGCAAGUCGAGCGAACGGACGAGAAGCUUGCUUCUCUGAUGUUAGCGGCGGACGGGUGAGUAGCACGUGGAUAACCUACCUAUAAGACUGGGAUAACUUCGGGAAAUCGGAGCUAAUACCGGAUAAUAUUUUGAACCGCAUGGUUCAAAAGUGAAAGACGGUCUUGCUGUCACUUAUAGAUGGAUCCGCGCUGCAUUAGCUAGUUGGUAAGGUAACGGCUUACCAAGGCAACGAUGCAUAGCCGACCUGAGAGGGUGAUCGGCCACACUGGAACUGAGACACGGUCCAGACUCCUACGGGAGGCAGCAGUAGGGAAUCUUCCGCAAUGGGCGAAAGCCUGACGGAGCAACGCCGCGUGAGUGAUGAAGGUCUUCGGAUCGUAAAACUCUGUUAUUAGGGAAGAACAUAUGUGUAAGUAACUGUGCACAUCUUGACGGUACCUAAUCAGAAAGCCGCGGCUAACUACGUGCCAGCAGCCGCGGUAAUACGUAGGUGGCAAGCGUUAUCCGGAAUUAUUGGGCGUAAAGCGCGCGUAGGCGGUUUUUUAAGUCUGAUGUGAAAGCCCACGGCUCAACCGUGGAGGGUCAUUGGAAACUGGAAAACUUGAGUGCAGAAGAGGAAAGUGGAAUUCCAUGUGUAGCGGUGAAAUGCGCAGAGAUAUGGAGGAACACCAGUGGCGAAGGCGACUUUCUGGUCUGUAACUGACGCUGAUGUGCGAAAGCGUGGGGAUCAAACAGGAUUAGAUACCCUGGUAGUCCACGCCGUAAACGAUGAGUGCUAAGUGUUAGGGGGUUUCCGCCCCUUAGUGCUGCAGCUAACGCAUUAAGCACUCCGCCUGGGGAGUACGACCGCAAGGUUGAAACUCAAAGGAAUUGACGGGGACCCGCACAAGCGGUGGAGCAUGUGGUUUAAUUCGAAGCAACGCGAAGAACCUUACCAAAUCUUGACAUCCUUUGACAACUCUAGAGAUAGAGCCUUCCCCUUCGGGGGGGCAAAGUGACAGGUGGUGCAUGGUUGUCGUCAGCUCGUGUCGUGAGAUGUUGGGUUAAGUCCCGCAACGAGCGCAACCCUUAAGCUUAGUUGCCAUCAUUAAGUUGGGCACUCUAAGUUGACUGCCGGUGACAAACCGGAGGAAGGUGGGGAUGACGUCAAAUCAUCAUGCCCCUUAUGAUUUGGGCUACACACGUGCUACAAUGGACAAUUCAAAGGGCAGCGAAACCGCGAGGUCAAGCAAAUCCCAUAAAGUUGUUCUCAGUUCGGAUUGUAGUAUGCAACUAGACUACAUGAAGCUGGAAUCGCUAGUAAUCGUAGAUCAGCAUGCUACCGGUGAAUACGUUCCCGGGUCU
rnacentral:rRNA from 1 species